CUUCUCUCUCUCUUUCUCUCCCUUCCCUAGUUUCUAUUUCAUAAGCAUGCACAAAUAAGGUAAUUUUCAGAAUUCCUCAACGAAAGGAUUGAAGAAGAGUUAUGCUUAGAUAGAUUUGGAUUUUUUUUUCACGGCUUGGGAAUGUGCAUAUCGGUACAAGUGAUUAAUGAAAAGUUACCAACUAAGUGCUGACCAGUGCUCCUUUAGAACUUGCAAAUGUUGGUGUAUUUUCACUUAGAAACUAGUUAUGAAUUACAUGAUAGAACUUUGGUAGCAAAAACAAAUUGAGUAAGUUCCUGAUGAUUGUGAAUAGCAGUUCAGGUGAAGGUUAAGACUUUAAUUUAAUGGGUUAAAUGCAGAAUUAAUUUUUCAGGAUCUUUGGAAAACCUGGAAGAAAAUAAGGUAAUUAUGACUCUAAUUUAACUAUCAUUCCUCCAUUUUCUUUUUGGUGUAUCAGGUAUAUGAAGAAUAAGAGCUUUAUGAAGCUUAACUUUGUGCUCUCUUGUUGAUUCUAGAUAUUAUUCUGAACUAAUUCAAGACAAGUCAUUAUGAAAGUAUUUGAACAUACUUGAAGUAGGCUAAAUGUAGUCUAAAUUUUUAAUAAAAAUUUUCCUAUUUGAGCUGGCAAUGUGGUUUACUUAAGUUGUAUAUCUGAUUUUUUUAAAUAUAUGGUUAUAAGAUCAUUAAAUUAGUGGAAAUGCUAAGUUUUAAUUUUAGUACUUUUUAUUUUAUUUUAUUCUUUUGGUUCAUGGAUAUAGAUAAAGGUUUCAUUAGUAUUCUUCUUCUACAGCUCUCCAAUUUGGAAGUCUGGUUUCAGCGACCCAAAGACAUUGUACGGAAGUUGUUAUCUGGAGAUUUGGACCUUGGAAUUGUGGGUUUUGAUACAGUCAGUGAGUAUGGAAAGGGGAAUGAGGAUCUUAUCCUUGUUCAUGAUGCUCUUGAGUAUGGGGAUUGCCGUUUGUCCUUUGCAAUUCCUAAUUAUGGGAUUUUUGAAAAUGUAAAAUCAAUGAGGGAGCUAGCGCAAAUGCCUCAAUGGACAGCUGAGAAACCUCUGCGAGUUGCUACUGGCUUCACUUAUCUGGGUCCUAAGUUUAUGAAAGAAAAUGGGCUGGAGCAUGUGAUAUUUUCAACUGCUGAUGGAGCAUUGGAAGCUGCACCUGCGGUGAGACGUAAUCCUUUGUUGUAGGACCAAGUGAACCAUUUUUAUUAUUCAUAGUGCUAUCAUUAAUUGAUUAUUUUGAAUCUUCAUUGCUGUCUUCGCAUGUGAUGCAUCACCUCACAAGUAGGAUGGUUGGGAGAUAAUUUUGAUUUAAUUUUAGUUUAAUUUUUGCAUGCUGCAUUAACAAACUGCAAAAAUUUGCUUAUCUGUUUUCUUUUAUCCUCAUUCAUCUUGUAAAUGUUUCAUCAGAAAGAGUGGCGUUUAAAUUUUCAUCUUUUUAUUUGUUUUUACUUAUUGAUAGAUGAGUCAAUAUUCAGGUAUUAAACUGUCUUGACAAGCUUUGAACAUGCUUGUUGAACAUGCAUACUUUCUUGACAUUUUUACAUCCUCUAGGUUAAAUUUUUUGUAGCCUUGUGGUUUAGGCAAUGGAAUAUGAAGAUGAGAGGGCUCAGUUUAAUCUAAAAAAUUGGUAAUGAGGGUACAUAAUGGUCCUCUUAAUUCAUAUUUUACCUGCUGUACUUUCUUUCUUCUUGAUUUGAGGCUUCCACUUCCACAUCUUGGAAAAUGGUGCUUAGAAUGCAUCCGCAUGUAUUAUAUGAAUUAUUGUUUUCUUUUUAGAUGGGAAUUGCUGACGCUAUUUUGGACCUUGUAAGUAGUGGAACAACACUGAGAGAAAACAACCUGAAAGAAAUUGAAGGUGGAGUUGUAUUGGAGAGCCAGGCUGUUCUUGUUGCUAGCAGGAAAUCCUUGAUGCAACAGAAGGGUGCGCUGGACACAACACAUGAGAUUCUUGAGAGGCUGGAGGCACAUUUGCGGGCAAUUGGUCAGUUCACGGUGACUGCAAACAUGAGAGGAAGCAGUGCAGAUGAAGUGGCUGAACGAGUUCUGAGCCAGCCAUCUUUGUCUGGGUUGCAGGUGAGGAUCAAGACAGAAGCAUGACUUGGAACAGUAACUUGCCUUUUUCUCCCCUCCUUGCAAAUGCCAUGACUUGGAACAGUUAACUUGCAGUGUGGGAUAUUUACUAGUUUCUUGACCAAUAUUCUCAUCUUUUUAUUUCACGCAUCUUUUUACUUUUCUCUGGGGGAUGGCUAAUAAGUUACUUGCAGUUCUUUGGGUCCAGUCAUGCCCUCAUCAGGCAAUUUAUGGAAAUAAAUCCUUGAGGUUAGCAACCAGAGAGGCUGUGGUAGGACUUAAACUCUGGGGCAAGACCGCAAGACUCAUAAUGGCCAAGUCUUAAGACCCUUGCCACUCAGACAUCUCCUUGGGUUAUCUUAAUUUCAAGCUCUUAUGUGUUCUUUUUGUGGUCACAUGCAGGGGCCAACUGUAAGUCCAGUUUACUGCAAACGUGAUGGAAAAGUUUCUCCAGAUUAUUACGCCAUAGUCAUUUGUGUCCCAAAAAAGGCACUGUACAAGUCUGUACAGCAACUGAGAGCGGUGAGUUACCUAAUUUUAUUAGAAGCUAUGAUGUGUUGUUAUAAAUUGGUAUUUCCUAUUUUUGGGUUUGUAGGUAGAACCUUUAAAUCCAAGCGUAGAAGGUCCAGGAUUUUCCUUUUGUUUAUUUCUUUUGGUGAGGACAGUUUCUUUGUACAUUGGUAUGGCAUAAGUUUAGUUCGUUCUGAAUGGCCAUGGCUCAGGUAUAAUCAGGCUUAAGAUUAGUGUAUUAUCUUCAGAUGCAUUACAUGUUAAUUGAUUCUGGCUGGAGCAAGCUAAGACAUUUAUACGGGGUAUUCAUGUAUUUGGGAUUGUUGGUGUUUGCUGAUUUUAUUCCAAAUUCUAACUCUCUAAAUAUUCCAGUAGAUACGCAUUAGAACAAUAUUUUAUCUUCUCCCAUCUCUCCUUGAGAUUUUGUACUUGAUUCCAUGUUUGACAAACGAUUCAGUUGAGUGUUGAACUUGCCAAAUGCUCCUACUAAGUUAAUAUUUGGAAGGACCUAAUGAAUUUUUUUUACAAAUAUUGCUUUGUACAUUUCUUUUUGCAGAUUGGAGGUAGCGGAGUUC
rnacentral:misc_RNA from 1 species